GGGCGGAUGGCGGAACUGGUAGACGCGCACGGUUAAGGGCCGUGUGGGAUAAAACCCGUGGAGGUUCGAGUCCUCUUCCGCCCACCA
rnacentral:tRNA from 1 species